CUACGGGUGGCUGCAGUGAGGAAUAUUGCACAAUGGGGGGAACCCUGAUGCAGCAACGCCGCGUGGAGGAUGACGCAUUUCGGUGUGUAAACUCCUUUUAUAUGUCAAGAAAAUGACGGUAGCAUAUGAAUAAGCACCGGCUAACUCCGUGCCAGCAGCCGCGGUAAUACGGAGGGUGCAAGCGUUACUCGGAAUCACUGGGCGUAAAGGACGCGUAGGCGGGUUGGAAAGUCAGGUGUGAAAUCCUACAGCUUAACUGUAGAACUGCACUUGAAACUUCUAAUCUAGAGUAUGGGAGGGGGAGAUGGAAUUAGUGGUGUAGGGGUAAAAUCCGUAGAUAUCACUAGGAAUACCUAAAGCGAAGGCGAUCUGCUGGAACAUAACUGACGCUAGGGCGUGAAAGCGUGGGGAGCAAACAGGAUUAGAUACCCCAGUAGUC
rnacentral:rRNA from 1 species